GAUGGACGCUGGCGGCGUGCUUAACACAUGCAAGUCGAACGGUGAAGCAGAGCUUGCUCUGUGGAUCAGUGGCGAACGGGUGAGUAGCACGUGAGCAACCUGCCCCUGACUCUGGGAUAAGCGCUGGAAACGGCGUCUAAUACUGGAUAUGAGCUGCGACCGCAUGGUCAGCAGUUGGAAAGAUUUUUCGGUCUGGGAUGGGCUCACGGCCUAUCAGCUUGUUGGUGAGGUAAUGGCUCACCAAGGCGUCGACGGGUAGCCGGCCUGAGAGGGUGACCGGCCACACUGGGACUGAGACACGGCCCAGACUCCUACGGGAGGCAGCAGUGGGGAAUAUUGCACAAUGGGCGAAAGCCUGAUGCAGCAACGCCGCGUGAGGGAUGACGGCCUUCGGGUUGUAAACCUCUUUUAGCAGGGAAGAAGCGAAAGUGACGGUACCUGCAGAAAAAGCGCCGGCUAACUACGUG
rnacentral:rRNA from 1 species